ACCUCAAAUCGGGUGAGACUACCCG
rnacentral:rRNA from 1 species